AUUGAACGCUAGCGGGAUGCUUUACACAUGCAAGUCGAACGGCAGCGCGGACUUCGGUCUGGCGGCGAGUGGCGAACGGGUGAGUAAUGUAUCGGAACGUGCCCAGUAGCGGGGGAUAACUACGCGAAAGCGUGGCUAAUACCGCAUACGCCCUACGGGGGAAAGGGGGGGAUCGCAAGACCUCCCACUAUUGGAGCGGCCGAUAUCGGAUUAGCUAGUUGGUGGGGUAAAGGCCUACCAAGGCGGCGAUCCGUAGCUGGUUUGAGAGGACGACCAGCCACACUGGGACUGAGACACGGCCCAGACUCCUACGGGAGGCAGCAGUGGGGAAUUUUGGACAAUGGGGGCAACCCUGAUCCAGCCAUCCCGCGUGUGCGAUGAAGGCCUUCGGGUUGUAAAGCACUUUUGGCAGGGAAGAAACGGCGCUCCUUAAUAGGGGGCGUCACUGACGGUACCUGCAGAAUAAGCACCGGCUAACUACGUGCCAGCAGCCGCAGUAACAC
rnacentral:rRNA from 1 species